UACGUAGGGGGCUAGCGUUGUCCGGAAUCAUUGGGCGUAAAGCGCGUGUAGGCGGUCCGGUAAGUCCGCUGUGAAAGUCGGGGGCUCAACCCUCGGAUGCCGGUGGAUACUGUCGGGCUUGAGUACGGAAGAGGCGAGUGGAAUUCCUGGUGUAGCGGUGAAAUGCGCAGAUAUCAGGAGGAACACCAAUUGCGAAGGCGGCUCGCUGGGACGUUACUGACGCUGAGACGCGAAAGCGUGGGGAGCAAACAGG
rnacentral:rRNA from 1 species